rnacentral:lncRNA from 1 species
AUUUUUCAAAAAUAGUGCGUGACGGGUUACUUCAUCUAACUAACAAGUUACGUGUGUGAGAAAAAGAGUUAUUCAACUUAAAACUGUUCAGAGUAAUCUAUUACUGCCUUUGAGUAACAAAUUACCAAUUUUGAAAAAGUUGAGUAACUGAUUACCUAAAUGGUGUAAUCGAUUACUCUAAUUCGUUUUUAAAAGAACAGUGGACAGA